rnacentral:rRNA from 1 species
UCAUCAACCUUGGUUGAAAAGAUGGAUGAGAUGGGUAUUCUUGGAAAUAUGCCAGAGGAUAACCAGUUGAGUUUGUUUGAUGAGUUGUUUUAAAAAAUUGCUUAAUAAUCUAUUAGAAGAGGCUAACGUAUAUCCAAUAGAUUUACAUUAGCUUUCUUUUUUGUUAAAAUAGUCUAUGGAAAGAGGGUGAGAGUAUGUCAAAGAUGAGUAUGAGCAUCCGUCUGGAUAGUGAGGUUAAGGAGCAGGCCCAACAGGUGUUUAGUAAUCUGGGAAUGGAUAUGACAACAGCUAUUAAUAUUUUCCUUCGUCAGGCAAUUCAAUAUCAGGGAUUACCUUUUGAUGUUAGACUAGACGAAAAUCGGAAGUUGCUCCAAGUGUUAACGGAUUUAGACCAAAAUCGUAAUAUGAGCCAGUCUUUUGAAUCAGUCUCAGAUUUGAUGGAGGACUUACGUGCUUAAGAUUCGUUAUCAUAAACAGUUUAAAAAAGAUUUUAAGUUGGCUAUGAAGCGUGGUUUGAAGGCAGAAUUAUUAGAAGAAGUUUUGAAUUUUCUGGUUCAAGAAAAAGAACAUCCUGCCAGAUAUCGUGAUCAUUCAUUGACGGCAUCCAAGCAUUUUCAAGGAGUUCGUGAAUGCCAUACCCAGCCAGAUUGGCUUUUGGUUUAUAAAGUAGAUAAGUCGGAAUUGAUUUUAAAUUUGCUGAGGACAGGCAGUCACAGUGAUUUAUUUUAAUCUAUUUUAAGGGGGUUCUCAUGAAACUAAGAAUAUUUGCGGAAGAUAAGCCGGCUAAGAAGGUAUUUGAAUAUCAAUUAGAACUUGCUGAUCGUACAAUUCUUCUAUCGACAGCACUCUUGUCAGGUGCUAUUGCUUUAGCAGGAAUCUUUUCUGCUUUGAAAGAAAAAUAAAAAUAGAAAAGAGAAAACAGGAUGGUUUUACCAAAUUUUAAAGAAAAUCUAGAAAAAUAUGCGAAAUUGUUGGUUGCGAACGGAAUUAACGUGCAACCUGGUCACACUUUGGCUCUCUCUAUUGAUGUGGAGCAACGUGAAUUGGCACAUCUAAUCGUGAAAGAAGCUUAUGCCUUGGGUGCGCAUGAGGUCAUCGUUCAGUGGACAGAUGAUGUGAUUAACCGUGAGAAAUUCCUCCAUGCCCCGAUGGAGCGUUUGGACAAUGUGCCAGAAUACAAGAUUGCUGAGAUGAACUAUCUCUUGGAGAACAAGGCUAGCCGUCUUGGAGUUCGUUCAUCUGAUCCAGGUGCCUUGAACGGAGUGGACGCUGACAAGCUUUCAGCUUCUGCUAAAGCUAUGGGACUUGCCAUGAAGCCAAUGCGAAUCGCAACUCAAUCUAACAAAGUUAGCUGGACUGUAGCAGCUGCAGCAGGACUUGAGUGGGCUAAGAAAGUCUUCCCAAAUGCUGCGAGCGACGAAGAAGCAGUUGAUUUCCUUUGGGACCAAAUUUUCAAAACUUGCCGUGUCUACGAAGCAGAUCCUGUUAAGGCUUGGGAGGAACAUGCAGCCAUUCUCAAGAGCAAGGCCGAUAUGCUUAAUAAGGAGCAAUUUUCAGCCCUUCACUACACAGCGCCAGGAACAGAUUUAACACUUGGUUUGCCAAAGAACCACGUUUGGGAAUCAGCUGGUGCUGUCAAUGCACAGGGCGAAGAAUUCUUGCCAAAUAUGCCGACAGAAGAGGUCUUCACAGCGCCUGACUUCCGUCGUGCAGAUGGUUAUGUCACUUCUACAAAACCGCUUAGCUACAACGGAAAUAUCAUUGAAGGCAUUAAGGUGACCUUUAAGGAUGGACAAAUCGUAGAUAUCACUGCUGAGAAGGGUGAUCAGGUUAUGAAAGACCUUGUCUUUGAAAAUGCGGGUGCGCGUGCCUUGGGUGAAUGUGCCUUGGUACCAGAUCCAAGUCCAAUUUCUCAGUCAGGCAUUACCUUCUUUAACACCCUUUUCGAUGAAAAUGCGUCAAACCACUUGGCUAUCGGUGCAGCCUAUGCGACUAGCGUUGUUGAUGGAGCGGAGAUGAGCGAAGAGGAGCUUGAAGCUGCAGGGCUUAACCGUUCAGAUGUUCACGUAGACUUUAUGAUUGGUUCUAACCAAAUGGAUAUCGAUGGUAUUCGUGAGGAUGGAACGCGAGUACCUCUUUUCCGUAAUGGGAAUUGGGCAAAUUAAGGAGAUAAUAUGUUAGGAAGUAUGUUCGUUGGUCUCCUAGUGGGAUUUUUAGCAGGUGCUAUGACCAAUCGUGGAGAGCGAAUGGGAUGUUUUGGAAAAAUGUUUCUCGGUUGGAUCGGAGCCUUUCUAGGUCACUUGCUCUUUGGAACUUGGGGGCCAGUUUUAUCAGGAACAGCUAUUAUCCCAGCUGUUUUAGGUGCCAUGAUUGUCUUAGCUAUUUUUUGGAGACGAGGAAGUUAAUUUCUUAAAUCUGAUACUCAAUGAAAAUCAAAGAGCAAACUAGGCAACUAGCCGCAGGCUGCUCAAAGCACUGCUUUGAGGUUGUGGAUAGAACU